GAUGAAGAACGUAGUGAAAUGCGAUAAGUAGUGUGAAUUGCAGAAUUCAGUGAAUCAUCGAAUCUUUGAACGCACAUUGCGCCCCUUGGUAUUCCAUGGGGCAUGCCUGUUCGAGCGUCAUUUACACCCUCAAGCUCUGCUUGGUGUUGGGCGUCUGUCCCGCUGCUUUGCGCGGACUCGCCUCAAAGGUAUUGGCAGCGAUCAUGCCAGCUUCUCGCGCAGCACAUUGCGCUUCUUGAAGUUCUGGUGGAUCAGCGUCCAUUAAGCUUACCUUCAUGACUUGACCUCGGAUCAGGUAGGGAUACCCGCUGAACUUAAGCAUAUCAAUAAGCGGAGGA
rnacentral:misc_RNA from 1 species